rnacentral:sRNA from 1 species
AUGUGCCGCUCGUACAUUGCGGUUCUGAGCGCGCCGUCCGCGCCCGCCUCACGGCUGCUCGCUACGUUUUGUCAGCC